rnacentral:rRNA from 1 species
GACGAACGCUGGCGGCGUGCCUAAUACAUGCAAGUCGAACGCAAAACUUUCACCGAGUGCUUGCAUUCACGAAAGUUUUGAGUGGCGAACGGGUGAGUAACACGUGGGUAACCUGCCCAGAAGAGGGGGAUAACACUUGGAAACAGGUGCUAAUACCGCAUAAUAACAAAAACCGCAUGGUUUUUGUUUGAAAGAUGGUUUUGCUAUCACUUCCGGAUGGACCCGCGGCGUAUUAGCUAGUUGGUAAGGUAAAGGCUUACCAAGGCAAUGAUACGUAGCCGAACUGAGAGGUUGAUCGGCCACAUUGGGACUGAGACACGGCCCAAACUCCUACGGGAGGCAGCAGUAGGGAAUCUUCCACAAUGGACGAAAGUCUGAUGGAGCAACGCCGCGUGAGUGAAGAAGGUUUUCGGAUCGUAAAACUCUGUUGUUAGAGAAGAACGUGUGUGAGAGUAACUGCUCAUGCAGUGACGGUAUCUAACCAGAAAGCCACGGCUAACUACGUGCCAGCAGCCGCCGUAA